AGAAUAUUCUCUGUGAGGCCCAGCAAACUGCAGCCUUAAACCUCCUGAAACAGGUCCUUGGAACAAUUUGCAAGAAUCCUGCAUGUGCAAGGAGGAGAAAGUGAUGAAUGUGUGAGAGUCCAUACUUCAAAUGCCAGGAAAUGGGAGGCCUUGCAUUUCAUCCCUCUUCUUAGCCACCAGCCAGCGACGCAGAGCCCCUGCAGCAGGAGGGCUCCCACACACUCAGCGCAAGUCCAGCAAAGCAUCUCUGGGCUUCAGUUCUACUGAGGGGUGUGCAUGUUUAACAAUGAGAGUUGGCCCAGAGGAAAGAAGUUGCCAAUACAUGCAAAUGUCCACUAGCUUAUGUCACCUCUGCCCCCCACAACGCCACAUAUGUGGCCACGCCUGCCUAUCAAAAUAAUGGGAUAAUUGGGCACAGUGUGUGCCGCCCCCACCCCUUACUGAAAGCAUGCCAGUCGGUCUCUGUGGGAACCCACAGGGAGCAGGGUGAGCAACACACCACUGUCUGCCUUCUCCGUGAUUGCAUCUGUGCCCUGCAAACCCCAACAGAAUUGAACUUACAUCUCCUCUUAAUUAGGGGAGAGAGGAAGACAAGAAUGAUAGCAGAAGAAUUUCUUCCUGCCUCUGACGGCAAGCUCUUCAGGGACAGAACAUUAAGCUCUCC